GCCUCUGGAGCUCUGCGCUGCCUGGUGCAGCUCUGGGAGUACGGUCUGCACUCCCAGCAAAAUUCAAAGGAUUAUCUGGGGGGAAGCACCUACCAAAUGGUCUGCUAAGAAUGGAAUAUAAGCAAUGGUGAAUGAAGCCACUACAACAACACUUUUCAUCCAAAGUUAUAGCAAAUUGCUUUACAACUGUACCAAAACAGACAGAACCAGGAUUUUCCAGGUCCACAUUGGCAAUACCAGAGACCAAACAGGAAAAGACAUGUGACAAUGGGCUUUGACAACAGAAAGUGAGAGAAGGUUUGGCAGCAGUGCCCUACUCUCCAUGCUUGAAAACAAUAAUAAAAGCACUGAACAAGUCUCUGAAUAUAUCAGAUGACCUGGGAUGACCUGGGAGGACCCUAGAACAACUACAAACAGGUUUGGGGCCCUUCAAUUAAUUCCUCGCAAGCCAAAAGUCUAGCUGCAUGGAGUUUCCCUUGCCCAGUGGAUCUCCCAUCUCUUCACUCAAACACAAGGCACAGCUGCAGGACAGAUCCUACAUGGUCACCAUAUAAAAGAACUGGUCACUUUGUGACACUGGUGAAGCCAGACUAAUUUCAUCUGCUAGCUCCUAAGCACAAAAUCAAGCUUGGUUCUCAACAAUCUGAACUAAUCCAGCUUCAUGAAUGAACAGAAUGGUGUACCUCUUCUCAAAGCUCGCAAAUUCUGCUUGGCGUGGCGAUGCAACUCCUCUACACAAGCUGGUCUGGUGGAAGGAAGGAAAAUAUUUCUUUGCUGAUGCCAAGAGACAGCAAGCUACUGUUGACUCAUCAUGCAGCUUAAGCACAGAACUGCUGAUCCUGCCUCAGGCUGAGCUAAAGGCUUGUACCAGUGUUUUUCAACCAGGGUUCCACAAGCAUCCCUCAGGGGUGCCAUGAAAUGUUACAACCGUCGAUCUCAGCCACUUCACUUUGACUCCUGGUGCUGGCCAGACAUUCCCCAUUGUAUUCAUUAAUGCAAUUUUUUGCCUUUGGAUUUUGUCAUUGCUAAAUAAAUGAGUUAUUAUGACUGUGCAAAU